rnacentral:piRNA from 1 species
UGUCAUAUAGGUUCUGUGUGCCCACAGC